rnacentral:rRNA from 1 species
GACGAACGCUGGCGGCGUGCUUAACACAUGCAAGUCGAUCGGAAAGGCCCUGCUUUUGUGGGGUGCUCGAGUGGCGAACGGGUGAGUAACACGUGAGUAACCUGCCCUUGACUUUGGGAUAACUUAAGGAAACUGGGGCUAAUACCGGAUAGGAGCUCCUGCUGCAUGGUGGGGGUUGGAAAGUUUCGGCGGUUGGGGAUGGACUCGCGGCUUAUCAGCUUGUUGGUGGGGUAGUGGCUUACCAAGGCUUUGACGGGUAGCCGGCCUGAGAGGGUGACCGGCCACAUUGGGACUGAGAUACGGCCCAGACUCCUACGGGAGGCAGCAGUGGGGAAUAUUGCACAAUGGGCAGAAGCCUGAUGCAGCAACGCCGCGUGCGGGAUGACGGCCUUCGGGUUGUAAACCGCUUUCGCCUGUGACGAAGCGUGAGUGACGGUAAUGGGUAAAGAAGCACCGGCUAACUACGUG